GACGAACGCUGGCGGCGUGCUUAACACAUGCAAGUCGAGCGAUGAAGUUUCUUCGGAAAUGGAUUAGCGGCGAACGGGUGAGGAACACGUGAAGAAUCUGCCCUCCACUUUGGGAUAACACAGGGAAACCUGUGCUAAUACCGAAUAUUGAAACAUAAGUGGCAUCACUGAGUUUUGAAAGAACUUCGGUGGAGGAUGACUUCGCGGCCUAUCAGCUAGUUGGUGAGGUAAUGGCUCACCAAGGCAACGACGGGUAGCCGGCCGGAGAGGGCGACCGGCCACACUGGGACUGAGACACGGCCCAGACUCCUGCGGGAGGCAGCAGUGGGGAAUAUUGGGCAAUGGAGGAAACUCUGACCCAGCGACGCCGCGUGCGGGAUGAAGGCCUUCGGGUUGUAAACCGCUUCCAGUAGGGAAGAAGCGAAAGUGACGGUACCUACAAAAGAAGCACCGGCUAACUAUGUGCCAGCAGCCGCCGUAA
rnacentral:rRNA from 1 species